GAUGAAGAACGUAGCGAAAUGCGAUACGUAAUGUGAAUUGCAGAAUUCAGUGAAUCAUCGAAUCUUUGAACGCACAUUGCGCCCGCCAGUAUUCUGGCGGGCAUGCCUGUUCGAGCGUCAUUACAACCCUCAGGCCCCCGGGCCUGGCGUUGGGGAUCGGCGGAAGCCCCCUGCGGGCACAACGCCGUCCCCCAAAUACAGUGGCGGUCCCGCCGCAGCUUCCAUUGCGUAGUAGCUAACACCUCGCAACUGGAGAGCGGCGCGGCCACGCCGUAAAACACCCAACUUCUGAAUGUUGACCUCGAAUCAGGUAGGAAUACCCGCUGAACUUAAGCAUAUCAAUAAGCGGAGG
rnacentral:misc_RNA from 1 species